rnacentral:lncRNA from 1 species
CCUACUUUUUGUUAUGUGAAAUAUUUUUUUGAUAUUUAAUGUUUGUUUGUAUAUACUUUUUGUGUGAUGCUCUGUUUGUUAUGCUUGGUGAUCUCUGUGUGAUGAGAUAAGUUCUAGCCCGAACUUGAGUGAAAUUUAAAAUAGGAGGAUGGUAUAGUCAUGUUGGCUUUGAAGGAGUAGUCUUGAAAGAGUUGACAUAAGAUCACCCACUCAGUGGAGACCUAUUUUGAG